rnacentral:rRNA from 1 species
AUUGAACGCUGGCGGCAGGCCUAACACAUGCAAGUCGAGCGGAUGAAGGGAGCUGGCUCCUGGAUUCAGCGGCGGACGGGUGAGUAAUGCCUAGGAAUCUGCCUGGUAGUGGGGGAUAACGUCCGGAAACGGGCGCUAAUACCGCAUACGGCCUGAGGGAGAAAGUGGGGGAUCUUCGGACCUCACGCUAUCAGAUGAGCCUAGGUCGGAUUAGCUAGUUGGUGGGGUAAAGGCCUACCAAGGCGACGAUCCGUAACUGGUCUGAGAGGAUGAUCAGGCACACUGGAACUGAGACACGGUCCAGACUCCUACGGGAGGCAGCAGUGGGGAAUAUUGGACAAUGGGCGAAUGCUUGAUCCAGCCAUGCCGCGUGUGUGCAGAAGGUCUUCGGAUUGUAAAGCGCUUAAAGUUGGGAGGAAGGGCAGUACGUUAAUACCUUGCUGUUUUGACGUUACCAACAGAAUAAGCACCGGCUAACUUCGUG